rnacentral:rRNA from 1 species
ACCAGACUCCUACGGGAGGCAGCAGUGGGGAAUAUUGCGCAAUGGGGGCAACCCUGACGCAGCAACGCCGCGUGAUUGAAGAAGGCCUUCGGGUUGUAAAGAUCUUUAAUCAGGGACGAAAAAUGACGGUACCUGAGGAAUAAGCUCCGGCUAACUACGUGCCAGCAGCCGCGGUAAUACGUAGGGAGCAAGCGUUAUCCGGAUUUACUGGGUGUAAAGGGCGUGUAGGCGGGCCUGUAAGUCAGAAGUGAAAUCUGGUGGCUUAACCCCCAAACUGCUUUUGAAACUGCGGGUCUUGAGUGAUGGAGAGGCAGGCGGAAUUCCCAGUGUAGCGGUGAAAUGCGUAGAUAUUGGGAGGAACACCAGUGGCGAAGGCGGCCUGCUGGACAUUAACUGACGCUGAGGCGCGAAAGCGUGGGGAGCAAACAGGAUUAGAUACCCGGGUAUC